AUGACCAAAUACAUAAGGCAAGUGUAUAUAGUUUAUAUUGAUUGGACAUAGUGAUAAAUGACGUUACAUAAGUACUGCUGAUAGGUAUGUACUUUGUGAGCCAGCGGGACUGAUUACAGACUAACCUCCAAGUGGAUCCUGGGUAUCUGUGAGCAGUUAUCUGUUACAACACCCUGUCAUCCCCAGAUUUUAAAAUGCCACUGCAUUAGCUUUCUUUUAGAAGCCAUUUUUUUACAUUUAAAAAUUUUUAAACAAACAUAGUCCAGAAUUUGAAUAGCAUAAGAAAAUUAAGUUUAUUCUGAUGCUUUUUAUUCAAUCUUAUCAGUAGUCUGUGUUGUGCAAAAGGAGGUAAGUUGGCAUUUCAUAUAAAUGCUGUUAGCGGCUGUUGAGAAACUUACACAUCUCUGUUCCUUUUUUCUGUGUUCUUGAUUUAUUCUGUUUUAUAGACUCAUGACCACAGUAUUCCAUUUUUAUUUUAUGAUUUUGACUUAUGUGUUUACCAUAAACUAACCAUAAACUAUCUCCAGUUCCUUAUGGAAGAAGACAGUGUACUAAGCAGUUUUUAACUUGAGAAAUCUGGAGAAAAAAGAUAAGAUUUUAAGUCAUUUCAACUGUGUUCUUCCCCAAUCUCCUCCAUGUUCAUUCUUGUAAUUACAUGUUUUCCUUUCCGGUAAGCCUAUUUUGUUUUAUUAUUUUGCUGUUUUUGUUCCUGACUUUGAAGAUAUGCUUCAGAAUACUAAAAUUCUGAUGAAUUAGGCUUGGAGAACUUGAAUGUCAUGGCUCACCUUCUACAAACUGUGUUCUUCAGUAAGCACUAUGGUUUUGCCAUCUGUUAAAUCAUAUUUACAACUGUCAACUGAUGUUUAUGUACUGAUGAAUUUGUACUUGUGCACAGACUCUUAGAUCUCAGCUGAGUUCUGGAGAAGGAGGAGUUGUGACUGGUACACAGCUAUCACACAGGAAGGCCAGACGUGCCCCUCCUUUAUUUAGAGAAAAUCUCAGAGUGGAUUAUAUGCAUCAGUUAGGAGCUCAGGCUAAGGCAAACCCAGUUCACCAUUCAAGACAUUUUCUACUCUUGCAAACUUUAGAGGACAUUAUAAAAAGCAAAAACUUCAGAUCCAUCCCUGCCUCAAAUCAAGCCAGGAAAAAAGGAUUCUUCAGGAUACGGUGGUGGGAACAAGGAAGCAGGACUGACUAUGUCUGAAAGCGUUCAGCAAGCAGAGGGGAAAAGCAGAGGGGCGCAGCCCUCAGGGAGCGGAUUAAAGUCACAUUCUCAGAAAACAGAGCUGGAAGUUAAGAUGAGAGACUACAAAGACAGCAGGAAGAGGAAGUCUUCAAACUUAGUCAAGACAAUUAUAUUCUUUGAACCAAGGAACCAUAGGCUCCUGUCACUGAAGAAAAAUCAAAGCAAAUCCACAAAUAAAUAGGAAAAAGAGACACUUGUUCAGGGAUGUCAACAGGAAAAUGAAAAAUUGUAUAAUCAAGUGAAAGAUCUCCAAGAACAAAACAAAAAUGAGGAGCGAAUGUUCAAGGAAAACCAGAGUUUAUUCAGCAAAUUAGUUUCCUUAAAGAAUAUCAAGAAAGAGAAAACCGGUUUAUUGGAAGACCUCAAAAGACUGAAGCAAGACAAGCAAGCUCUUGACACAGACUUGGGAAAAGUGAAGAGAGAGAGGCCAAGCCAGAGAGCAGGUGCGCGCACCACAGGGAGCACGCCCAGCUGGAAUGGGUACUUUAUACUCGUGACUGUGCUGAACUUGAGUUUAAGUGAUAGCAAUUAGAUAAUAUAAGCAAAAUGCUAUUCCUAGAAGUACACUGUAAUUUUAGAAACUUUUAAAAAUUAGUUAUUAAGAGGUAUUUGCAUUUGAUUGGUUUCAGCAGCAAUAACUGCAAGGCUGAAGAAACUCAAAUGUUAUUUUGAAUUCAUGGCGUUGUGUGCCCUCCCAGCCAGACCUGGAUCUUCCAGGGCCUGGUCACCCUUUUUAUCCCUGAGCCUGAAACAUAACCUCUCAAGUGUUUGACAAAUGAACAGACAACACCGUGCUAUGUUUGUAGAAGACACGAGGGUGAAUAUGGCAUUCCUCACUGAGAAAAACAAAGGAGUAAGCUAAAAAUGCAGAAAAGUUUAAUACUAAAAAAAUUAGAAAUAAACAGGUAGGUGCUAGUAAGGGUUUCAGGGAGGAGAAGCGUUUGAGCUGGGUCCUGGCAGGUGGAGGGCCUUGGGAGGGGAGGAGGGAGGCCGUGCAGCUGUGUCUCAUGGGUGUGUCACUGAGUACACCUGUCCUGGGCCACAGGCGGGCAGGGCAUAGGGCCGGAAAGGUCGAUCAGAGGAGCCCUUGUUUGCCAAAGGAAGGGUCUUUUCUCUGUGAUUGUAUGAUCUUCAGUGUAAGAUAUAUACAAAUAAAAUCCAAUAACCUAUUUGUUAAGAAAUGUACUUUCCUCAUCUAUAAAGUAGAAUAAUAAUCAUCGCUCCCAUCAUGUAUUUGUUGUGUUAAAUAAAAUCAUACAAACUGUGAG